UAUAAUGUUUUAUAGGGUUCCGGCAUUUAUGCGACUGGACCGAGAUAAAACGGCGCAUAAAGCGCUGCACGGAGGGAUAAAAGCCCGGGAGAA
rnacentral:sRNA from 2 species